CCUACGGGGGGCAGCAGUGAGGAAUAUUGGUCAAUGGGCGAAAGCCUAAACCAGCCAAGUCGCGUGAAUGAUGACGGCCCUACGGGUUUUAAACUUCUUUUGUCAGGGAGCAAUUGGGUCCACGUGAGGGCUUAGCGAGAGUACAUGACGAAACAGCAUCGGCCAACUCAGUGCCAGCAGCCGCGGUAAUACGUAGGAUGCGAGCGUUAUCCGGUUUGAUUGGGUGUAAAGGGUGGGUAGGCGGAAUGUCUAGUCAGCGUGAAAGAUUAGGGCCUCAACCCCGUAGUGCCGUUGAAACUGAUGUUCUUGAGUGGGCGAGAGGUAUGCGGAAUUCGUGGUGUAGCGGUGAAAUGCGUAGAUAUCACGCAGAACUCCAGUUGCGAAGGCAGCAUACUGGCGCCCAACUGACGCUGAGGCACGAAAGCGUGGGUAGCGAACAGGAUUAGAUACCCGGGUAGUC
rnacentral:rRNA from 1 species